UACGGAGGGUGCAAGCGUUAAUCGGAAUUACUGGGCGUAAAGCGCACGCAGGCGGUUUGUUAAGUCGGAUGUGAAAGCCCCCGGCUCAACCCGGGAGGUGCAUUGGAAACUGGCAGGCUAGAGUGUAGUAGAGGGGGGUAGAAUUCCAGGUGUAGCGGUGAAAUGCGUAGAGAUCUGGAGGAAUACCGGUGGCGAAGGCGGCCCCCUGGACGGAAACUGACGCUCAGGUGCGAAAGCGUGGGGAGCAAACAGG
rnacentral:rRNA from 1 species